rnacentral:lncRNA from 1 species
AUGAUGUUACCUCGGCAACUGAGGAUAGCACCGCCUCCAGCCCCGCCCACCGUCCCGCCUACAGACCUGGUCCUCGCUUGCCUCCGAGGACUCUUACUUCCGCCUCAACCUGCCAGCUGGGACCUGGAGGCCGACCGUCUAUGCCUGCGCUUGUGCUGCCUGACUAAAAAUACAGCAGAAGGCUCCGCGCAGCGUGAGAAAAUGGGCCCGAUUUUCAGGCAAUGCCUUGGACAACAGCAACCUGGGAGGGCCCCAAUUUGCUGA